CCUACGGGAGACUGCAGUAGGGAAUUUUGCUCAAUGCUGGAAACCCUGACGCAGCAACGCCGCGUGGAUGACGAAGGUCUUCGGAUCGUAAACUCCUUUCGUCAGAGAAGAUAAUGACGGUAAGUAACUAAUAAUCACUUGCUAACACCGUUCUAGCAGCCGCGGUAAUACGGAGGGUGCAAGCGUUCCUCGGAAGGACUGGGCGUAACGAGCUCGUAGGCGGUUUAGCAAGUCAGAAGUGAAAGCCUAGUGCUUAACCAUAGGACUGCAUGUGAAACUAUAAUUCUAGAGUAUGAGAGAGGAAGGUAGAAUUCUUGGUGUAGGGGUAAAAUGCGUAGAGAUCAAGAGGAAUA
rnacentral:rRNA from 1 species